ensembl:lncRNA
UUUUCUGGCUCCACCUCGGUCUACCCCUUCUAGGUGUGUGUUGUGUCCAGAGAAACUCCCCAGGCAACCAGUCAGAUGUAUGGGCCUCUCUGGCACAACCACAUGGUCUAUUUUUGACACAGGUCUGGUUGUGAGCGUUCCCUAAUAUCUUCUUCAUGUUCGACCACAGGAGUUAUCGACUUGAGCCAUAUUGUUUGACUUCUUUGCCUCUUUCACGUGGCAAAGCUCAGAAGGUGGGUCCCUGGGAAAGUACCCGCUCCUUCAAAAGGUGACGGCUGGAGAGAGAGAGAUUUUCUCAAGAUGAUAUCGCAAAAGUAAUCCCUCGGCUCAAAUUUUCUUCUGUACAUUUUGGGAAGCACAGUGUAUCGUCGAGUAUGAAGCCUUUUAAAUGCCUAAUAUCCGAUACAUGAAAUACACCAAAGUGAUUAUUCACCAUACAGAGGAUACAGAUUGUUAUCACUACAGAGUACCUCUAUGUGGAACAUUUUGAAGCUGAAAUGAUUCCCCACAACAGGCGUCUGAAAACUUCACGAUCAUACCAUCUGGAGAGUUCUUUUGCAAAUUUGGCGCAGGGCUACAUCGACUUCACAGAUUCAGAAGCAACAGGAACAGGCACAUCGGGUCAUGAAAUAAGGGUGAGCAGAAGCAGGAGCAGGAGGCUGCCUUUGCAAAUGCAGACAACAGUAUUUCCUUCACAUGUCAUCUAUAGAGGUGCUCCAAUUGUAAAUGCAUCAACGUCUACUCCCAGGGCCUCCGACGAAAGCUUUGAAGGAAACAGAAGCCAGCUAAUCACGCCGACACAGAAGAUGUUUCAUUUCUACUGAGAAAAUAGACUAAGGGAGACAAAGUGGAGCACUGAAGCAAUCGAAGUGAGUGCUGAUAAGACAGAAGCCAGAACGCCCAGAGCAUUUUAGACACAUGACCCUGUGGGUGGAGCUAAGUGAUGAAGCCUCCCUAAUGAACGGGGCAGGUCUCUGCCAACGGCCCUGUUUCAACAACAAUUACAACUCAUUUUUGGAUUUGCAAGCACCGCUAUCCACCAAACCAAGCUAAUGACAAUUUUUUUUUUAUAUUUUCCAAUAAUAAAGAUGGCUAUAUCUGUGAUUGCAUUCCACGGGUCAUGACAUUUGAAUGUCUGCAGUUGAAAGCUAAUGCUAACGCUAACUCUUACACUCUCCUUGACAUGUCUCACAUGGCCUUUCCUCAAAACGUGGAUGAAAAUCUGUUUUAUUUCCUGAAGAGUAAUAAGACCAGCACGUGUGGAUCUAGAUGCCUUUCAGAACACAUAAACUCAUUUGAAUUAA